ACUCCACCAGCCGGCCCCGCGGGGCGGUUACUGUGUUCCUGAGACUGUCUAUGGUGUCAGAAACAUCUCUGGAGAGGCCUGCAGAAAUUACUUUCCCGAGUCUUUGGGCUGGAAGGAACGAACAGUGCCUGACCAAGGACUCUGAGCAGGAGAGAGAUGGGAGCAGAGAGGAGCCAAGGUCUACUAUUUUCUGUCAAUUAGAUAGAAGCCCUGCCCAGAAGCUUUGAGCACCGCUGUCCCAUUCCUCCCCUAAACCAUCCAGGUUCCAUCUGCCUUGAAGCCAAAGGAUCUUCUUAGCUUCCUCAAGAAAAAUUCAGGCCCAAGUUUCUCCACCAGCACUCUCCUCUCCCCGAAGGAGUAGGUGGGCUGCAUUUAUCUUCAUAUUCUAUUCCAUUCCGGACCGUCUUGGACUACCAGCCUGUCUGCCACCCCUCAGGGCCCUCCCCUCCUACUCUGCCCUUGCCCGCUGAGGCCCCAAGCUGAGGAGAUGAGCAGAGCAGUAAAAAGAGGAGGUUUUGAAAAGCGAUGUCCUCUCAGUCUUUAACAGGUGGCCCCCUUAGGAACCUGCAGGAAGUGGAAGUUAAUAAGCUGAAGGUGGCCACAACCAAUCUCUGCCACACUUGCACCCUCCCCCACCCCAAAUCAUUCCUUUUAAUUAAUAGUAGAAGACGUUUUUAAACAUGUAACAUGAAUUGGCUAUUUCUUGAGGCAAACAAAAGGUGGCUCAGAAGCGAUACAUUUGUACUUGUAUAAAUUCAUUAAAGUAGAAAGCUUAUAACCA